UGCAUGGUGGUUUAGUGGUUAGUACCUUUAUCUCAUACCUCCAGGGUUGGGGGUUCAAAUCCUGCCUCUGCUC